rnacentral:rRNA from 1 species
UACAGAGGUCUCAAGCGUUGUUCGGAUUCAUUGGGCGUAAAGGGUGCGUAGGUGGCGCCAUAAGUCGGGUGUGAAAUCUCGGGCUUAACUCCGAACUGCAUUCGAUACUGUGGUGCUUGAGGACUGGAGAGGAGACUGGAAUUCAUGGUGUAGCAGUGAAAUGCGUAGAGAUCAUGAGGAAGACCAGUGGCGAAGGCGGGUCUCUGGACAGUUCCUGACACUGAGGCACGAAGGCCAGGGGAGCAAACGGG